AUUCCUCUCCUCUUUGUGGGUGACAGCAAAUAGUCGAGUUUAGCCCAAAGGCUGCAAUUCGGUCAUCAAAUGCGAGUCUCACCUGCCGCUGUGGGGUAGCCUUUGUUUUUGCAACGCUCUUUGCAGUGUCUGUAGAAGGGGAAACACUGCAGCAUCUUCACACCCAUGAUGGGAAACUGUCGAGGAAAGAACACGGGGCCGAUGACGACACGGCAGCGCACCAGCGACACAGAAAUCGACGUAUGACAUCACCUGCCAGGUGGCAGCUGCGCGGACGCGAGCGAAGUCGUACGGCCGUCACCCGUUCGAUCGCAUGUUUUGAUGAUCCGCAUGCAAAGACUUCCUCUUGUCAACGGUAAGCUAAACCCCACCAAGCAUGAGGCGUUGAAGAGUGUCACACACCACACGUGUGUUAUCAACCAGGUUGAGGACGGCGCUGUGUUCUCUUCAAAUCAUUUUCACGAAACAAAAAACUAGCCGCAAUCCGAAAUCAUCACAGUGGAUUUUGCAAAGCACCCACCUGACUCCAAGAGGACUGCUAAGGGAGCGGGAUGAGGUGCGAGCCAACAACGGAAAGCUUCCUUAUGUUCCCUCCACUCACCGAGUGAACUUUAAAUAGCUCCCCCACCCCCUCCCCAGCAGUGUAGGACACGCCUGCUUUCUUUUCUUUUUUCCCUCCCCCUCUCUGACUCUUCUUCUCGCCGCCCUUCAAGCUUUUGCCAUCAUCACAUAGUGACUGAGGUUCGUCCAGUACUUGGCCCAAUCCUUUUUCUUUCUGAAGCGCUCAUUUGUUACAGCAGUCUUAUUAUGCGUUUUAAAUCCAAUCAACCGUGAAUGUUUUCCCAAACGAAAUGACUACUGAGACGUUUACAAAGCUUCAUUGUCAACAUUGAUGACAUCAUGGGGCCCACCCGGCAUCAAAUAGUGAAGGACGGCUGCUAAAAGACAAUCUGGCUAGUCUGUGAAUCAAUCUUUGGAAAAUCCACGCAAAAUCUCUUUGGUUCUCCAUUUUAAGCCACUUCAAAUCAAAAUGGCAGACUUGCUGUGGUGUCUUAAGGCUUUUUUUGUUUUUUGUCAGUGAAAGUGGCUUUGGAGGUUUUGUUUUCCAAAAGCUCCUCAGCUUUGUGAUGCCGAUCGCAAAUGUAUAUUUUCACCACUUGUAAAAAUGUGGCUUAACCCUCCUAAUUGAUAAAAUAAUGCUCAUUGGCAGUGCUAAGAUACUGUAGCUGAAGGAAAGGGGCAACAGUAAAAGUUGCUUUUGAUGGCUUCUGAAUGUCUAAAACCCGCAAGGUUUGCGUGCCCGUCAUGAUUUAGCACUUCCUGUCUUGGCCAAAACCAAGAUGACACAUUGACUACAUGCUUCCAAACGUUGGUUAAUAAAUGCGAAAAGCAAGUAAAAGUGCAACUAUCUGGUUAAAAAUGGAACAAACAAGUGAAGCACACAACAAGGAUUCCGGUUUAUUCCUGCUAGCGGGGAAAACAGGAGCGCAGAGCCAGAAGGCCUCGCCAACUCGUUACGUCAUUCUUGUACUUGUGCCCGCCCGUCCGUUCCCGAGCCAGCAAGUAUUUCACUUGUGCUUUUUAUACUAUAUUUACACUUGAAGGUUACAAAGCUCCCAAUUGCCAGCAAGCCACCGUGCGACAACAAAAGCUUAAAGGCUUAACCUGCACCACCACCUCCUCCUCCUCCUUCUCCUCGUCACAACGCGAACCUUUGACCCUGUCUGAACAACAACAAUCCUAUUAGACGCGGAAUAAGACGUGUAAUCGCAUACGGGACGUGUCUGGCCGCGAGCUAGCCGCGAUUCAUCAUGUUUGAACCUUUUACGCAUUUUUAAUUGGAAAACUAUGAUUCGUUCAUUUACAUUUUUCACAAUGGAACAAAACGAUGAUAUGAAGUGCUUGAAUGCCCACUUUUUCGA